rnacentral:rRNA from 1 species
AUGACAAGGCCAAAGUUUUGUGGAGGGCUAGGAUUUCGUGAUAUAGAACUUUUCAAUCUAGCUCUCCUUGCAAGGCAGGCAUGGCGGGUGUUGAUGGAUUCAGAUUCUUUGAGUGCUCGAGUGUUGAAAGCAAAAUAUCAUAGUACUACUGAGUUCUUGAAUGCAGAGUUGGGUACGGCUCCAUCUCAGAUUUGGAGAUCCAUACUAGAAGGCCGCGAUGUCCUUGUUUAA